rnacentral:tRNA from 1 species
AUCUUUUUAGUAUAAUUAGUAUAUUUGGCUUCCAACCAAAAGGUCUAAAACUUUUAGAAAAGAUA